GGGCUGCAGUAUUUUGACUGUACAAAGGUAGCAUAAUCAAUAGUCAUUUAAUUGAUGACUUGUAUGAAAGAUUGGAUGAAAUAUAUACUGUCUCUUAAUUAUAUUAUAGAAAUUAAUUUUUUAAUUAAAAAGUUAAAAUAUAUUAAAAAGACGAGAAGACCCUAUAGAGUUUUAUUUAUUAAAUUAUUUAAAAUUAUUUAUAAAUUUAAUUAUUGAAAUUAAUUAAUAAAUUUUGUUGGGGUGACAAAAAAAUAUGAAAAACUUUUUUUUUUAUAAUCCAUAAAUAAGUGAUUAUUUGAUCCAAUUUUAUUGAUUAUAAGAAAAAAUUACCUUAGGGAUAACAGCGUAAUUUCUUUUUUUAGUUCAUAUAAAAAAAGAAGUUUGCGACCUCGAUGUUGGAUUAAGAUAAAAUUUAAAUG
rnacentral:rRNA from 1 species